rnacentral:rRNA from 1 species
GACGAACGCUGGCGGCGUGCCUAACACAUGCAAGUCGAGCGAGAGACUUCGGUCUCUAGCGGCGGACGGGUGAGUAACACGUGGGUAACCUGCCUCAUAGAGGGGGAUAGCCUCCCGAAAGGGAGAUUAAUACCGCAUAACAUUAUGCUUUCGCAGGGGAGUAUAAUCAAAGGAGUAAUCCGCUAUGAGAUGGACCCGCGGCGCAUUAGCUAGUUGGGGAGGUAACGGGUCACCAAGGCGACGAUGCGUAGCCGACCUGAGAGGGUGAUCGGCCACAUUGGAACUGAGACACGGUCCAGACUCCUACGGGAGGCAGCAGUGGGGAAUAUUGCACAAUGGGGGAAACCCUGAUGCAGCAACGCCGCGUGAGUGAUGAAGGCCUUCGGGUUGUAAAGCUCUGUCUUUUGGGACGAUAUUGACGGUACCAAAGGAGGAAGCCACGGCUAACUACGUGCCAGCAGCCGCCGUAAUAC